GCUUUACUGUAGCCUGGGUAUUGGGUUCGGGCUUUGUUUGCGCAGGAUAGGUGGGAGGCUGUGAGAUUGCCCUGUGUGGGGGCAGUGGAGCCAACGGUGGAGAUACCACUCUAACAAAGCUAGAAUUCUAACCCUCUGCCGUCAUCCGGCGAAGGAACAGUAUCAGGUGGGGCAGUUUGACUGGGGCGGUCGCGCCUCCUAAAAGGUAACGGAGGCGCGGCAAAGGUCUUCUCUCAGGCUGGUUGGAAAUCAGCCGUAGAGUGUAAAAGCACAAGAGAGCUUGACUGUGAGACUAACAGCGUCAAACAGGGACGAAAGUCGGCUUUAGCGAUCCGACGGCGCUGCGUGGAAAGGCCGUCGCUAAACGGAUAAAAGUUA
rnacentral:rRNA from 1 species